GGAGGUGUAGCUCAGUUGGUUAGAGCGCUUGCUUGACAUGCAAGAGGUCAUUGGUUCAAAUCCAAUCAUCUUCACCA
rnacentral:tRNA from 2 species